UUCCGGUUGAUCCUGCCGGAGGCCACUGCUAUCGGGGUUCGAUUAAGCCAUGCGAGUCGAGAGGUGCAAGACCUCGGCGCACUGCUCAGUAACACGUGGAUAACCUACCCUCAGGAGGGGGAUAACCCCGGGAAACUGGGGAUAAUACCCCAUAGAUCAGGGACGCUGGAAUGCCCCCUGGUCGAAAGGUCCGCCGCCUGAGGAUGGGUCUGCGGCCGAUUAGGUUGUUGUUGGGGUAACGGCCCAACAAGCCUUUGAUCGGUACGGGUUGUGAGAGCAAGAGCCCGGAGAUGGAUUCUGAGACACAAAUCCAGGCCCUACGGGGCGCAGCAGGCGCGAAAACUUUACAAUGCGAGAAAUCGUGAUAAGGGAACCCCGAGUGCCCGUAAAUUCGGGCUGUCCAUCAGUGUAAAAAACUGGUGAAGAAAGGGCCGGGCAAGACCGGUGCCAGCCGCCGCGGUAAUACCGGCGGCUCGAGUGGUGGCCACUAUUACUGGGCUUAAAGCGUCCGUAGCUGGAUUGUUAAGUCUCUUGGGAAAUCCGCCGGCUUAACCGGCGGGCGUUCAGGAGAAACUGGCAAUCUAGGGACCGGGAGAGGUGAGAGGUACUCCAGGGGUAGGAGUGAAAUCCUGUAAUCCUUGGGGGACCACCUGUGGCGAAGGCGUCUCACUAGAACGGCUCCGACAGUGAGAGACGAAAGCUGGGGGAGCAAACCGGAUUAGAUACCCGGGUAGUCCCAGCUGUAAACGAUGCGCGUUAGGUGUAUCGGUGACCACGAGUCAUCGAGGUGCCGAAAGGGAAACCGUGAAACGUGCCGCCUGGGAAGUACGGUCGCAAGGCUGAAACUUAAAGGAAUUGGCGGGGAGCACA
rnacentral:rRNA from 1 species